rnacentral:rRNA from 1 species
AUUGAACGCUGGCGGCAGGCCUAACUCAUGCAAGUCGAGCGAGCGGCUGACGGGUGAGUACUGUCUGGGAAACUGCCUGAUGGAGGGGGAUAACUACUGGAAACGGUAGCGAAUACCGCAUCCCAUCAGAUGUGCCCAGAUGGGAGUAGCUAGUAGGUGGGGUAACGGCUCACAUAGGCGACGAUCCCUACCUGGUCUGAGAGGAUGACCAACCACACGGGAACUGAGACACGGUCCAGACUCCUACGGGAGGCAGCAGUGGGGAAUAUGGGACAAUGGGGGAAAGCCUGAUGCAGCCAUGCCGCGUGUGUGAAGAAGGCCUGCGGGUUGUAAAGCACUUUCAGCGGGGAGGCGUUACCCGCAGAAGAAGCACCGGCUAACUCCGUGCCAGCAGCCGCGGUAAGAC